GGCGUGGUGGCCGAGCGGUUGAAGGCAGCGGUCUUGAAAACCGCCAAGGGCGCAAGUCCUUCGUGAGUUCGAAUCUCACCCACGCCG
rnacentral:tRNA from 1 species